rnacentral:rRNA from 1 species
UACGUAGGGUGCGAGCGUUGUCCUGAAUUAUUGGGCGUAAAGAGCUCGUAGGCGGUUUGUUGCGUCGGCUGUGAAAUCCCGAGGCUCAACCUCGGGUCUGCAGUCGAUACGAGCAAACUAGAGUGUUGCAGGGGAGACUGGAAUUCCUGGUGUAGCGGUGAAAUGCGCAGAUAUCAGGAGGAACACCGGUGGCGAAGGCGGGUCUCUGGGCAACAACUGACGCUGAGGAGCGAAAGCGUGGGGAGCGAACAGG